UAUUUUUUAUUGAUACGUUAAAUAUUGAAAUGAAAUGGUGUCGAUGUAGAAUCCAGUUUUGGAUUAAACUUUAAUUCGGGUUUAAACAUUUUUAUUUAUUGAAAUACGUGUUUAUUCUAAGAAUCUAAAUAUCGAACUGCCUCACAAUUUAACAACAAAAGAAUAAAAAUAACAAUGAAAACAAAACAAAACUAAAUAGACUCCAAAACAUGAUCUCAACUAGUAUAUAUAAAUAAUUCUAAUUACAAGUACCACAUACUUCCCCCCUCAGAAUUAUUUUGGUUUUAAAUUGUAAAUGGAUAUUGACUUAGGUUUUCCAUUAAUUUUGACAAUAGAAUUCUUUUUGAAUUUUUUAAUUACUUCAUAAGGACCAUAAAAAUAAGGCAUUAGCGAAGAUCUAAUAGGAUGGCUUAAAACAUAAACUUCUUUGGCCUCUAUUAAUAUUUCAUAGAUUUAAUUAUGUGUAUAAGAAUCAUUUUUCAAAUUGUGUAAUGUAUUAAAUUUAGAUUUAAUCUCUAUGUCAUUCAGAAGCAGUGCCCUUGUUGAACAAAUUUCUUCUCCAAAUACCAAUUCUGCAGGAGAAACAUUCCUUCCUGAUUUCACUAUUGUCCUAAGGUCAAGUAAGGUUGUUAUAAUUCUUGGGUAUCCAAAACUUGAAAACCAAUUUUCUUCCAGCUUUUUUAUUAUAUUUUCGGUGUUUGUACUAGACAUAAGGUAUACUUCCAACCAUUUACUAGCACGAUCAAUAACAGUAAGAGCUAUAUUAUUUCCUCUUGCUUUUGGGAAUGGCCCGAUUAAAUCUACGGGGAUGUGAUAGAAAAAUUUAUAUGGAAAUUUUAUUUUAUUAUAUGUUAACUUUGGUAAACGGGUUUUCUUGGCUCCUCAACAAAUUGAGCAAAUCUGCACAAAUUGUUUUAUUUUAUAAGUGAUAGAAUUAUAAAAAUAAUGUCCGUGGAUGUUUCGAAUUGUAUUCUUAAUUCUACGAUGAGAUUCGUUAUGAAAUAACGACAAGACUUUAUCUAUCAUUGUCUUAGGAUCUACAUGUCUACCAUUCUUUGCUCAAACAUUGCAAGCUAUGUCUUGUCUACCAAUAGCAAUAAAUUCUGCUAAUGGGUAUUUAAUUAGGACAUUUUCCUUCAAUUGCUCAUAUCUCCAUGUCUUCUUAUCAAUAAAAUCUCAUUUUACUAAAUUUAUUCUUGAAAGGAAAUCAUCUCGCACAUUAGGCUUCCCUGAUAUAAGAAAUAAACUGAUAUUUCGUUCGUUUAACUCUGCAAAAUAACGAUGUUAUUUGCUGGGCCAAUUAGGCUCUUUCACAAAAUGAGCUGUAACUAAUGGUUUAUGAUCGGAGAGACAUUCUACAUUUUUACCUUCGAUAAUAUAGCCAAAAUGUCUUACUAAUUAUCGUACGGCUAACAAUUCCCGAGCAAAUGCAGAGUCUUUUCCUUCACUUUUUGACAAUAUUCUACUGAAGAAGGCAAGAGAAUAAAAUUUGUAACCCUUUCCCUGUUCUAAAACACCUCAAAUGCCUUCCUUAGAAGCAUCGACACAAAUUCUUAAUUUUUUUCAGGUAUUUAAUUUUUUAGUUUUGUUACAUCAUCUAUUCUUAUCUUGAAAUCUUCAAACGUAUGAUUUAAUGUAGAACACCAGUUAAUGGGAUCAUUUUUCUUUUUGUUAUUAAUACCUUUGUAGAAAGGAUGUAGUAAUGAUCUGAGAUGUGUUAUGAAACGUCUAUAAUAAUUUGCCAUAACUUAUUCAUUCCUUGAACCUUCAAAGUUCUUUCAAAUUGUCUUAACUCGGACAUUUUUUUGUUUAAUUGUCUCUUUUUGAGUUAUAGUAAAUUCCAAAAAAUUAAUCUGUUUUUUACAGAACUGGCUUUUACUUAUAUAGUAGCUAAGAAUAUUUCUUUUACCUGUUUUAGCACUUCAGCGAUUAAAUUAUGGUGUUCCUUCUCUGUUUAUAAAAACAAUAAGAUAUUGUGUAUAUAUGCAAAACAACCAUUGAUAUGUCCCAAUACUUUAUCAAUCAUUCACUGAAAUGAGCUGGUCGCAUUCUUCAGUCCAAACGGCAUGCGAAUAUAUUGAUAAAACCCUCAAGGUGUGGAUGUUGCAGUUUUUAUUUGUCUUCAGACAACAUUGGAAUUUGAUGGUAAGCUUUCAACAAGUCAAACUUACUCAAAUGAGAAGAUUUAUUAAUCAAGUGAUUAAAAUGUUGUACGGCAGGCAUUGGAUAUUUGUAACGUUGUUAAGCAAUAUGUAAUCACCGACUAAUCGCCAAUCACUAUUUUGUUAUUUAGCUAAGUGUAUUGGAGUGGACCAACAAGAUUUUGACUCUUCCAUUUAUUACCUCUUUCAGUCAUUUUUGUAUCUCAGACUUAAUGAUUUCUAUUUCUUCCAUGGUAAAUCUUCGUGGUCGAGUAACAACUGGCAUGCCGCUCGUUUCUAUAGUAUGGUGUACUCUGUGUAAGAAUGGCCUUUAAAAGAAUUAUCAUGCAACGUAGGAAAAUUGUGAAGUAUUUUGUCUACUUUUGAACAUGAAGAAAUCUCGUUUAUAUAAUUGAUCGCACUACCAUUUCUAAUCAAUUUUCUGUUUGCAACAUCCACUACAAUUUCGUAUUUUUUUAGGAAAUCAAAACCUUUUGUCCGAAACUCAUAUCCGUCAAAAUAAAAUUCCAAGGUACUGGGUCCAUUCUAGCCACUAACCUAACACCCGACUCUCGGAAGGAUAAAAAUCGAAAAUUAGGAAUCAAUGACUGUUCUGCUCCCGUAUCAAUCAAAAAAGUUAUAAGUCUUUUAAUAUUAUUUGUAGGAUCAGUAAA
rnacentral:lncRNA from 1 species